rnacentral:rRNA from 1 species
GACGAACGCUGGCGGCGUGCUUAACACAUGCAAGUCGAACGGGCCUGUCUUCUUUUUUGGGGGUUGGGUUGAGUGGCGAACGGGUGAGUAUCACGUGAGUAACCUGCCCUUCGGUCCUGGAUAACCGCUUGAAAGGGCGGCUAAUACGGGGUGGUCCGGUUGGUCCGCAUGGGCUGGUCGGGAUAGAUUCACUGUUUUUGGUGUUUCGGCGGGGGAUGGGCUCGCGGCCUAUCAGCUUGUUGGUGGGGUGAUGGCCUACCAAGGCGGUGACGGGUAGCCGGCCGGAGAGGGUGGGCGGCCACACUGGGACUGAGAUUCGGCCCAGACUCCUGCGGGAGGCAGCAGUGGGGGGUAGUGCACAAGGGGCGGAAGCCUGAUGCAGCGACGUCGCGUGAGGGAUGGAGGCCUUCGGGUUGUGAACCUCUGUUUCCGGUGGUGAAGGCCCUGUCCGUGUGGUGGGGUUGACGGUAGCCGGGGAUGAAGCGCCGGCUAACUACGUG